rnacentral:rRNA from 1 species
CGGGACGGGUGAGUAAUGUCUGGGAAACUGCCUGAUGGAGGGGGAUAACUACUGGAAACGGUAGCUAAUACCGCAUAACGUCGCAAGACCAAAGAGGGGGACCUUAGGGCCUCUUGCCAUCGGAUGUGCCCAGAUGGGAUUAGCUAAUAGGUGGGGUAAAGGCUCACCUAGGCGACGAUCCCUAGCUGGUCUGAGAGGAUGACCAGCCACACUGGAACUGAGACACGGUCCAG